CCUCCUGUUCGCGGCGGGCGCUUUGUCUUACGUUCCCUCACCCCAGUGAGACUGAGCUGUGCGGGCACUUGCUGCUUGUGAAGGGUGGUUUGUUUGUUCUUCAUUUUUAAGGGUAAUGCUGAGUGAUACUUGCUUCUUCCGUUUCAGUGGAUGAGAUUUUGUUCACUGAUGUAGUACAGGGCGGUAUUCCGUAUAGCUUUAUGGCCGCUCCUAGAAUUCCAGCGAAGUUGCUGUUGUAUACAAUGUAAUACUUGCACAUGCUAUAUUGGUACUUGCAGUGUGUGCGCAGGGAUGAAGAGGCAUUUUUACUUGAAGAAGUGGUAGUAAGAGGAUGAGCGAUGAAAAGCAGGGCUCUCCCUGCAUGAGUCCCCAGGCCUGCCUCACACAGCUGUGGGGCUGACUUGCUCUGUGGGAAAGGCAAACCGGUCUGUGAAGUGGGCACCGUGUCCCUGGAAACUGCUGUGGUGUGCAAACCGACCACUUCAAGGGCUGGAAAAGCUCUUCCAGGUUAAUGGUCCCAGUGACUCUGCUCUGCCUCUUGCAUAAAGGCAAGGCCUUUCUGCUACAGCUUUAGCUGUGGCAUUUUAGUAUAUCCAAGAGAAUCAUCUACAUUUGUGCCAACGUAACAUCGUGUUCCACAUGACUGGAAAUAACGUGUUUGGUACUGGUCUAGAGAAGAGGAGUAACAAGAAGACUUACACCUCCAUAUUCUUCUCUCAACUACAUCAGUUGGACUAAUGAGAGAGCAACACCUUCACCAACACUAACUCUCAAAGAAAAGAUUGGGUGUGGUGAUGAGACUACUGACCUGGGACUCAUCGGACAAACCCAGCUAUGCAUCAGAUACGCUUCGUAGUCAUGGUCUACAGGGGGAGCAAUGACGAAGCAGCUGCUUUAUUUCCUGCCUUAAGAGGAGCAGCGUGUCUGCAUUUGCCAGCUCGCUGUUUAUUUUCAGACCAACGCAACAGAGGAAGCCAUAUUCCAGCAGACGAGCUGAACGUUUUUAGAGACCUCAGCGGUAUUGCGGUAAAUGUUCGACUCGGAAAUAAUUUUCAUUUUUUAUUUUUAGUAAAACUAAAUUUCUGGAACGUGCUAAAAAGGCCAACAGCAUAGAUGCGACCUAAGGAUUUGCAUUAGUUACAAGUCCUUUCUUCCUUCCUUGUUUUUCCCCUUUUACGGCUCCUUCUGAAGAAAAAGAAAAUGACCAAAAAAGGGGAAACGGAAUAACGUGUUUUUUCUGCUACAAACGGUUUCUUAAAAACAAAGCCCUUUUAAAGAUUUUCGCACGCUUGCUUUUACUUUCCUCCGGGAGAAGGGCCGAGAAGCCCGGUAGCACUGGGGCAGGCUGGCGCUGAACUCAGG
rnacentral:lncRNA from 1 species